GACGAACGCUGGCGGCGUGCCUAAUACAUGCAAGUCGAACGCACUCUCGUUUAGAUUGAAGGAGCUUGCUCCUGAUUGAUAAACAUUUGAGUGAGUGGCGGACGGGUGAGUAACACGUGGGUAACCUGCCCUAAAGUGGGGGAUAACAUUUGGAAACAGAUGCUAAUACCGCAUAAAACCUAAACACCGCAUGGUGUAGGGUUGAAAGAUGGUUUCGGCUAUCACUUUAGGAUGGACCCGCGGUGCAUUAGUUAGUUGGUGAGGUAAAGGCUCACCAAGACCGUGAUGCAUAGCCGACCUGAGAGGGUAAUCGGGCCACACUGGGACUGAGACACGGCCCAGACUCCUACGGGAGGCAGCAGUAGGGAAUCUUCCACAAUGGACGAAAGUCUGAUGGAGCAAACGCCGCGUGAGUGAAGAAGGUUUUCGGAUCGUAAAAACCCUGUUGUUGGAGAAGAAUGU
rnacentral:rRNA from 1 species